ACUGAAGAGAAAUUAUAGCUGCUGCUGACUGAGAAAAAGAAAUCCACAAAAUGUCAGUCAUGUGAGACACGUCGCUCAAGGUGAAGUGCCUCAGUGUAAAUUCAGCUUGAAGGGAUUUAAUCCUGGGCCUCAGGUAAAUAUUUUAGGUAAAACAAAGUGGACAAAGCUCUGCUGAGCCAGCUGACCUUGAGGAAGGCAGACAGUGUGGUUAUCUGAACUUCACUUAUCUGAACCUCCUGCUAUUUGAUGUGGGAUUACGUUGUCCACCUCAAAAUGGGAGAUGGGAUUCUGUGCUCCUUGACCAACAGAAGGUGCACGACCUGGUGUCCGCAGUUACAUCUCAGGAAGAGACACGAAACAACAUGUGAAAUACGACUUGGGACUCAGAAACAUCAAGCAUUACCUGGCCAAGAGCUGGAGCGGCAUGGAGACGGCAGGAAAAAGAAGCAGCAGUAUGGAGGAGUGGAUAUGGAUGUGGAAACGGAUCCAUUCCCAUCUGCUUCACAGACCCCACAUCCCAUCUUCUAAACUGGAAAUUUUAUGUCUACCCAUGGACCGUUUAAUGUAGGUUCUUAAACACUGCAUUUACCUGUAAAUGCCAGCACAGGCUCUCUGUAUUUCCUUGCACGCAUUUGGAGUGGUUUAGCCCUCUGAGGCAGCUUGAUCUGCAGUCCUACAGAUACUGCUUCUUUCCUUCCACUCCGAUCUCCGCUGUCUGCUCUGAAGCCGCACUAUCAUGCAUGGGGACACACUUUGUGUGCACCUUUGUGUUGCAGGGUUCACACAUCUCUAAAAGAUUUCCUUUGGGCUUAAUGAAUGGUACACACUGGCCUCACUUAGCAUUUACACAGCAUCAACAGACAGGAGACAGAGGAUAUUGCUUUAUGGCUAGAAAGAUACAGGGAAGGCUGACAAAGGUGAUCAAAGGUACAGAGAGGCUUCUGUGCAUGGAAAAAAACAGGUCGAGAGAGUUCCUCAGGCCCCAUUCCCCUCUCUCCCCCACAAGAAAAAAAAAGGUCAGGAAGAUAAACUAAAGAGUUAUAAAUUACAAUUAAAACAAAGAAGAUGAAGGAGGAACUACCUGUCACCUUUUCUUAAUGCAAGAACUAAGGAGAUUCAAACAAAACUAGCAAGAUGCAGUUUCCAAAGAAAACAAGAAGAGAUUUAUUUUAUACAGACUGGAAUUUAUACAGAUGCACCGUGUUUAUAUCCACGGAGCUCUCAGUGACAGAAUGUAUGGUAAAUGUACCCUGGUUCCAAUCCAUUUUGGACAUCCUUAUGGAGAAGAAGUCUAUCUCAUGUACUAAGGCCCUCAAAGCUCCCAAGCUAUAAAUAGCUGCACGCUGGAACAGAUUUAUUUUGAAACAUCUGAAUAUUAUUACUUGGUCCUAAUUUUUCUUGAGCCACUUCUGUUGGUUUUCUCCAUUGCAACUGGGCAUCAACACAACCUUAACAAAACUAAAUGUCCUUCUCUCUUCAGCCACCGCUGGGGACAGGAUACCGAGCUGGCUGGGGCUGGCUCAGUGCAGCCAUUCCUACCUUCUCACCCUGCUUUAGUGGCAUAUACCCUCUUCUGAGCGUAUUGAGAAUGGCCCAGAGACUGCAGGAACUAGGUCAGGGAACUCCCAUAAUACCACCUUACAGCUGCUUUACAUACUGCUAAUUGUAUAUAGUCACAGGGUUGAAAAUAGGAUUGAACGGAGCUGUGCUCUUACCGUCCAGUGACUGGCCACGUUCCUUGCACCCCAAGAUACUAAGGAACAGGAAGAGGAACACAGCCCCCUCAUCUUCUCCUGCCUCUUCAGCCCCACCAAAAGGCAGUACAAGCUCCGCAAUGUAUUAUUUCUCCUUUGCCUCCCCAUCAUGUCUUUUUCUCAUCCACAUGCUUCACAGCAUUCAUGCACAAUGGCCAUCGCAGCAGAGCAGCAUCCACUAGCCCAGCAGAUUUUUAGGAGCAGAUGGCCAGGGAUGUUGGGCAAGAUAAAACUAUCCUGUUUCUGCACAAAAACACAGCAGCUUGGAGCUGAGCACUGCUUUCUUUCUUUCCUGUUUCCCCUGAAAGCACAUACUCUGCAACAUCAGCAAAACCUCCAUUAUAUUUUACCCGUGCAGCAACCUACAAUCACAACACUCGUAAUCUUUAAAUCCACUUGAGUUUGGCCUCCAGUGCUGGCUUCUCAAUCUCACUAUUUAAUACCAAUGAUAAGAUGUAAUCACCAUCCUGCCCAAGCUGCCCCCAUCACUGCUCUCACUGCAGCCGCCAGGAAAAUCACAGCACAGAAGCUGAAAAAAACCCAAAAGCAGCUGUAAAAUGGAGGUUUGGGUGAGGGCAGCAGCUGUGAGAGCCCACAGCUAUGUGACACCUCAGGAGCAGGCACAAACAGAUGUGGGUUUGCUUCAUUUAGGGUGCAGCUAUUUCUACUGCAAUAGCAGCCACUGAGCUGCCCACACGAUCAGCAUCAUCACCUGACUGCAGAGCAAGGCUCGUUGCUUUCUGUCCCUUUUGACAAAAAUGGUGCUUUGGAGCCUGUCCAGGCUGGGGCUCUCCCAUGCAAAGGAGACACAGUGGUGGCAAGGCUGUUUUGGAGCUGCUCCAGGAGCCAUGCCUACCUGCCUGUGACUGACCUGUGGCACUGAGGGACAUGGUUAGUGGGCAUGGUGGUUGUGGGCUGAUGGUCGGACUAGAUGAUCUCAGUGGCGUUUUCCAAUCUCAGUACUGAGUAAGGUAAUGCCUGACUCAAGCUUUUCCUGCUGGAGGGUCCAUAAGAGCUCUCCCUUGUGCAGCAGUUUUGUAGUCCAGCAGGCUGAGAGCUCAGCUACAGCUAUUUGCUCCACAAGGUUACCUAAAAAUGUCAUCGUCUCUAUCUGGCUAGCUAUUUUAAUGGCACUUACAGAGACACGAUUUUCUUUGAAAGCUCUGUCUCACUGCCAGGUCAGGCUGAACUCAGACCAUUCAACACAGAGGGGACACCGAGAGCUCAACUAUUCUGCACAUUCAAACAAAGGAAGGAUAAUUGGUAGUUGCAACAAGUGGCUUCCCAACUUGUAUGCACUAAGUAAUGCCUAACGUGGGUCUGCUCUGAGUAGGUAUCAUCAAUGUGGUCGUGGGUAAAGGGCAUCCGUACAAAACUGGCCCAUGUCAGCAAACCAGGAAUGCUUGGGAAGAGGGCAUUAGGAUGUCAUACGAUAUUCUCUGUCUCUACCAACAACAGGACAAAAUUAUCAGGCUUCUAUGGAUACUGUGGGACACGGGAACACCAGGCCUGUGGGUCACCUACAGGCUGUCAUGGAAUUUGGGUGUACGUUCCCUUUAUUUGACAAUGUCUUGGUUUUGGAAGGAUGGCCAGGUGCAAGGGACAGGGAGAUGCGACUUAUCCCAGCAGCUCCUAGCUUCACUGCUCACAACCAGCCUGGUAUAAAAAGCAAUUUGCUUUUGAAAUCAGGACUUUUUCCCUUGGGUACUAAUGACUCAAGGGAAAUUGUAGAAUCUGUAUAAGCACCACAGUAGGCCAAUUUGAGGCCUUUGAAAAACAGGCUAGACCAAAAAAAAACCCAACAUACCCCACUACUUUCAACUUGCCUUUGACUUUGGAAAAUCAUAAUAAUGCUGGGAACUUCUCUGUUAAUUCUAUCAGUGCUUGGAAACCAGAUACCUUGGGGCCUUAAAAAUGCCAUCAUCAGACAGCCCAAAUAGGUAAACAGACCUCAUAAACCAGAAAGGUGGCAGGAUGUAUUUAGUAGAAAAGUCUUUAAAAAAGAGAUUGUCUUUAAUAAAAGACAAUUAUAACAACAUGUGACCAUAGCAACACCGAACAGAGCUGCAGAAUGGAAGAGGUAAAUACUCCCUUUAGCAGAUGGAUAGCUCUCAUGUCUUCCAUUGAAAUUGUCUGCUGAAAGGCUAACAUCAAAGAUUUGUUCAGAAAAUGGUUAUCUCUGAACUCCCUGCGCGCACACAUUUCCCCUAGGCCUUAGAAAAGCUUUUUUUCUUUUCACAAUGCAAGUGCUAUUUCAUGGGGAUGCAUUUGUAUUAGUUUUCAGAUAGCAGCCAUGGGAAAUCUGUGGGACAGCAAGGCUCCCUCUCGUUCAAUCCUGCAGCAAUGAAGCCUGGUCUUCCCUCCCUCCCCAAGGAGAUCCCUGCAGCUCACUCCUUUGAGUAGCUGUGAGCAGUGUUUUGGUCUCUAAAUUUCUGCUUAACGUCGCCGAGCUGGUGUGAAAAAAAAACAAACAAAAGAGAUCAUGUCAACAGGAACAGGGAAUUGUACGAGAUACAAAUAAUAUAGGUGUUUGCUUUGUUCAGUGCCACUUUUGUUCCUUUUUGAAAGAAAGAGUUGAUUUUCCUGUGAGAAUCAGAGCCAUCAGCCACGAGGCCAGGUCCACCAUUUCCACACAAGCAGAGAAAAAACUGUCCUACUACUCUCGUAGGCCUUUGGUUCAGUAUUUACUUUUCCCUUUCGAUUCCCUGCAUGAAGUAUUUUCAGGUGACCCCGUGUGGGUCAAUAAAUAAUAUAUCAUCCUCUAAUGAAAAAACAUAGCUACGUCAAAGGCGCCUUUCAGUCUGAAGCUGGCUGGAGUUUAUCUCUUACCUUCAACUGGCAGUUUAGAAACAUUACGACAAUCAGAUAAACAGAAAUGAAUAAGCACUUCGAUGGUUCAAUAUCUCACCCCACGAGUGACAAUAAAAAGCUCAUAACUUUUCAAAUGGCACAUUUAUAUGUGCUGCACACAGAGGAAGGGGACUUGCCCCGAGGAAGCAGAGUGGCAGCGUGCUGCGCUGAGCCCAAGGAAGUGGGACACACUGCCCACACACAGCUUACACAGCUGCAGCUAAAGGGAGAACCCACAAAUACCGUUCUCCACUAAAUGGUUAACUCCCACUGGUAGGACUUCAGACCGUGCAGCAGCCAACGUUUUUACCUGCAGGUAUCAUGAAGCUGUAGGAAAAAAGGACUCUCCUGUUCUUACUAUUUUGCUGGUGGAAAUAAUGAAGGUGACUCGUGGGUGCGGUAGGACAAGAUCAGAAUCCAGAACUUGUGAACCCCAGUGCUGUCCCUCCCUGUGUCCCAGGUUUGCCCCUCCAUCUGAUUAGCCUGACUUGCCAUGAGACCUACAAUGGGAGUUUUAUAAAAUCUCAAGGAAAUAGGUAAAAGUGUUUCAAAGAAAAAUGGAAUGGUGUGGAUUGUAACAGGCUAUGAUCAUCCCUGAUGCAAGCAACAGAGCAGGAGAUCUGCAACAGCUCUGGCAGUCAUGAGUUUAAUUUCCCUCUCUGUGCAGAUAUGCUGUGUAUAGUCAGCAGUACUUGAAGCAGAGGAGAUGACAAUCUCACCAUGCUCCUAGAAGUGCUCCCUGGGCUUGUGCAGGAAGUGUCCUGGGUGAGACUUCUUGUUAGGGUAACUCCACUGGCUUCAAGGGAUCUACAGCAGAAAAGCCUUUUGUCAGCACUAUUGCUGACCCUCCUCAGCACCUCCACCUGUGUGGAAGAAAACAUUAUACACAUUUUAUAAGCAAAGAUGCUGAUUUUCAGUGCGACCUCUUCAGGUAUAACGUGUGGGAGAAGUUGGUAACUUCUUGAAUGGUAAAUGGGAGCCAUUUUAUUUCAUGUCUAGCUCUUCUCUUGCCUAACAAUGGUGUAAGUGUGACCUCAAGGCCAAGUCAAGUUUCUCUCCAAACUGAUGCGCAGAGCUGGGGAAUGGCAGUGGGUUAAGACAGGACCACAUUAUACAAGUGCACGCACCACACUGUCCAUCACUACAAUACAGCACGUGGGGAUUAGAAUCACAGAAUGAUUAAGGUUGGAAAAGACCUCUAAGAUCAUCCAGCCCAACCCCAACCCACCCCACCAUGUCCACUGACCACGUCCUUCAG